rnacentral:rRNA from 1 species
AUUGAACGCUGGCGGCAUGCUUUACACAUGCAAGUCGAACGGCAGCACGGGGGCAACCCUGGUGGCGAGUGGCGAACGGGUGAGUAAUACAUCGGAACGUGCCCAGUCGUGGGGGAUAACGUAGCGAAAGCUACGCUAAUACCGCAUACGAUCUACGGAUGAAAGCGGGGGAUCGCAAGACCUCGCGCGAUUGGAGCGGCCGAUGGCAGAUUAGGUAGUUGGUGGGGUAAAGGCUCACCAAGCCGACGAUCUGUAGCUGGUCUGAGAGGACGACCAGCCACACUGGGACUGAGACACGGCCCAGACUCCUACGGGAGGCAGCAGUGGGGAAUUUUGGACAAUGGGCGCAAGCCUGAUCCAGCCAUUCCGCGUGCAGGAUGAAGG